GACGAACGCUGGCGGCGUGCUUAACACAUGCAAGUCGAACGGAAAGGCCCUGCUUUUGUGGGGUGCUCGAGUGGCGAACGGGUGAGUAACACGUGAGUAACCUGCCCUUGACUUUGGGAUAACUUCAGGAAACUGGGGCUAAUACCGGAUAGGAGCUCCUGCUGCAUGGUGGGGGUUGGAAAGUUUCGGCGGUUGGGGAUGGACUCGCGGCUUAUCAGCUUGUUGGUGGGGUAGUGGCUUACCAAGGCUUUGACGGGUAGCCGGCCUGAGAGGGUGACCGGCCACAUUGGGACUGAGAUACGGCCCAGACUCCUACGGGAGGCAGCAGUGGGGAGUAUUGCACAAUGGGCGGAAGCCUGAUGCAGCAACGCCGCGUGCGGGAUGAAGGCCUUCGGGUUGUAAACCGCUUUCGCCUGUGACGAAGCGUGAGUGACGGUAAUGGGUAAAGAAGCACCGGCUAACUACGUG
rnacentral:rRNA from 1 species